CAGUGUCGUGGCUCUGCCUACCCCGCGAACCCUACCCCUCGUCGUUGCCUCGGCGGGCGCUCCCCGCCGCAGGCCCUAGCAAACACGCACCGUAACGCUCGGCGCUCCUUCUGAAAGCACGAUUUUUUAAACGAGUAAAAACUUUUGGCAACGGAUCUCUUGGCUCUGGCAUCGAUGAAGAACGCAGCGAAAUGCGAUACGUAGUGUGAAUUGCAGAAUUCAGUGAACCAUCGAAUCUUUGAACGCACCUUGCGGCCGCCGGCAAUCCGGCGGCCAUGCCCGUCCGAGCGUCGUUUCGACCCUCGGGACCCCACCCCCCUCUCGCAGGGGGGCGGGGCCCCGGCUUUGGGCUAGCGCGCGCCGCCUCCACUGGCGCGCGCGGCCCGCAGACCAUCGGCGGCAGCGCCCGCGACGUCCCUUGCGCAGUAGCUAAAGCUCGCACCGGACUCCUGGCGCCGCCCGCCCUCGACGGCCCCAGCGACCGCCACACACGACAGGUCGACCUCGGAUCGGGUAGGGAUACCCGCUAAACUUAAGCAUAUCAGUCAGCGGAGGA
rnacentral:rRNA from 1 species